AGAUCAUGAUGUGGGCAAUUCCUUAAUAAACUUUUAUACGUCUCCCAAGCUUCAUAAAGUGUUUCUCCAGCUUGUUGUUCAAAGUUGGAUAUGGCUUUUUUUAACUU